GCUGUCUGGAAUUUAACGAGGAUGAGAACCUCCGGGGGCAAGAGGUUCGACUCGAGCGUAGCGAGAGAACGUUGCGUGAGCAACGGCCCGAAGGGCGAGCCACGUAGUGGCGAGUAAUCCUCUAUCACCGACCA
rnacentral:sRNA from 2 species